AUUGAACUCAAGUUUCAGAAAGCUGCUGAUGAAAUUACAUAUUUUAAAGAAUUAGUCAUAAAGCAAUCAAAAGAAUGUGAAGACCAUCAGAGGGAAUUUCAAAAGUUGUCAUCUGAAAUUGGAAUAGUUAAAUCUCGGUUUACUCAUAUGGUGACAGAAAAAGAACAAUCUUUACUUGCCUGCCAACAAAUGUGUCAACGUUUACAGGAAGAAACAAUUGAGAAAGAAAAGAGAGAACAUAAUUUUAAAAAACGAAUAAAG
rnacentral:lncRNA from 1 species